rnacentral:rRNA from 1 species
UACGAAGGGGGCUAGCGUUGUUCGGAAUUACUGGGCGUAAAGAGCGCGUAGGCGGCUCGUUAAGUGAGAAGUGAAAGCUGUGGGCUCAACCCACAAACCGCUUUUCAUACUGGCGAGCUGGAGUGAUGCAGAGGUGGAUAGAAUUCCUGGUGUAGCGGUGAAAUGCGUUGAUAUCAGGAGGAAUACCCGUGGCGAAGGCGGUCCACUGGGCAUCAACUGACGCUGAGGCGCGAAAGCGUGGGUAGCAAACAGG